rnacentral:lncRNA from 1 species
ACAGAAAUUCGGUGAUGGGACGACCAAUCCUGAUGAGCACAUGGAUGCGAAUACCAGUUUGUAUCUAUGCUUUUCCGAAUCACUUGUCGCUAAGCAGAGGAAAUUGUGAAAUUAAUCGGAUCUUGUUAGUGAGACGCUGAAACUUCUGAACUAAGAGAAGAAGAGUCGAUUUGAAGGAUUCUACUAGCUAUAGACAAUGCAAUUGCUUUGAGAAUCAAUCACCAUGUCCUGUUACUUAACUGUUUUUUUUUUUUAUUUGAUGCGUAUGUGGUUUCGUGAUUUAAAUUUUUACUUUUGUUAUUAUUUUCUCUAUAACUUUGUUCCUCUUACAUGUUGUGAUUGUUGUUUGGUUGUACGGUGCAGGUUUUUGACUUAGAUGUGAAGCCUCAUGAGUUUGUACAGUAUGGAUCGAGUUUUCUGGAGAUGUUGGCGGGCUUUGGUGAUUCAUGUGCCAAAGAAACUCGUGAAAGAAUAAGGGUAUGGUAUGUUGGUUCGAGAACUAGAACAUGCAUUACAAUUCAUUCUUAUGAUAUAAAUGAUUGUGUGUGAUUGCUUAAGUUGUGAAGGCUCCCGUAUUUGGUUUCUUUACGUUGUGCAUACUUGAUUUAAUAAAAAGGGGAAGUUAUUAUAAUUAGAAGAGGAUUUUUAUUCUAUUUUUCCCUCCUCCAUAAAACUGAAAUAGAUGAGGUAUGAUUGCCAAGUGGUUGGUUAUGCAGUUAUUUCUUUAAUUUCUAAGUUAAAAAUGUGAUUGAUUGAUCAUAAUUGGAAUUAUAGUACGUACUGCACACAAAUAUAAAACAUACCCCAGCAUAAAACAGAUUGCGAGGAUAUGAGAGAAGAGACUCCCUCCCAUCCCUUUACAACAUGAUGUAUGAACUCUUAGAAAUGUUGAGUUGAAUUUGGGUUUUAUACGGAGAUAUACUUUUAUUGAGUUCUCUUUGCUGGCUCACAUAUAUUAAAUUGGUAUAAUAUGUUUUUCAAUGUAGUUGGCAAGUUUCACUUGCAAUACCAGAAGGCACAUAUGUGAAGCUACCGCAUUGUUUGAAGCCUGUAGAAAAGUUCACUCUUUAUUAGGUUAUUGUCUGGUUUUAGCUCUGUAUAUGAAUUGGUUAGGGUUUUUUUCUUGAGCAUAGAGUAUGUGGCUUCCAAAUGCGCACAUCCUUCAUAUAUAGAAGGAAGAUUAGGCUAGCAGUAAUCUUUGGUUCCCAAAUGAUCAUCAUUCAUAUAUAGGUCUCAGAGGAUUAGGUUAGUAAUAAUAUUUUGUGAUGUUUCAGGUUUUUCCAGAAAUCACAGUUACUCACUCAAAUAAUGAAUAUCAAUUUUUGUGCACACGAUGACCCAUUGGUGCAUGAUUAUUCUAUAAAUUUUAAUCAAAAUAUACUUCUCUAUAACAUGUGCCCCAUUUUUGUUUACAAUUGGCCUUGUCAAGGCCUUUUUAGAGUGUCACUCUGAUUAAACUUAAUUCUUUACAUAAAUGGUUGUUUCUUGUACACUCAACUUGCUAUUAAGUGUAAAUUUGGAAAAGACUACAAAGUAUUUGAUUCAGCAUGCAACUUUUCACAAAUUGUUUUCUCAAUUCUUGUUGUCCAAUUGUAAUAUGCAAUCUUUUGUGUCUGCUCUUUGCAGGGCUUUGAAAUUGAGGGAGAACUACCAGAGAAAGUUACAAGUUAUGAAGGCGUGUACUAUAAUUACUUCAUCACAUAUACUUGAAUCUGUACAUCAGUGGUGUUAUAUUGGUGCCUAAA